ACAGCAGCCGCCGCGGUAAUACAGAGGGUGCGAGCGUUAAUCGGAUUUACUGGGCGUAAAGCGUGCGUAGGCGGCUAAUUGAGUCGGAUGUGAAAUCCCCGAGCUUAACUUGGGAAUUGCAUUCGAUACUGGUUAGCUAGAGUGUGGGAGAGGAUGGUAGAAUUCCAGGUGUAGCGGUGAAAUGCGUAGAGAUCUGGAGGAAUACCGAUGGCGAAGGCAGCCAUCUGGCCUAACACUGACGCUGAGGUACGAAAGCAUGGGGAGCAAACAGGAUUAGAUACCCGCGUAGUCCCUGUCUCUUAUAA
rnacentral:rRNA from 1 species